ensembl:lncRNA
AUGAGUGUUGGAAUUUGUGGGUACGGAGAGACAACAUUUGGACUCUCAGAAAAAAGCUGUAAACUGGGGAACAGGCUGAGGCCCUUUGUGAAGAGAUGGGUUAAAACCAGUGAAGCAGGAGCUAUUCCAGUGUCCAGUGUCCUCAGCUCAUUCUCCCGUGGUGAUGCUGCCAGAGAGCAGAGACCAGCCAUCAGAAGCACAUUAAUUCUGGUCUUUUCUUGUAUCUCUCAAAUAGUGCCCAAAAAAAAGAGACACUGUUUGCACCCCCGGGCUCACUGGUUCAGUCUUUCUCCUUCUUCCCCGGCUUCUCACCACUCCUCAUGCACUUUUCCAUGCACCCCUGAACAUGGGCACUGGAUGAAGCCAAAAUCUGGAAGAGCCAAAAGAACUCAGCAGGAAACCAGUAGACAGAUUCUCUGGUCGGUGGAAGCCCUGCCUCUACCUGCAAUAGGAAACUGAGCCGAGAGACGGUCCCCUUAUGGCCUCUAACCUGCGCAUCUCAGGCACGAGAUCCUCUCCCUUCAGCAUUCCUGCCUUCCUUAUUCCCUGUGUCCUGGGCCCUCUGCACACCUUAUCUCCAGCCCUGUUUGGCAUCGACAUUCUAAUUCUCUGGCUUGAACAGCCUCCCAGACCAUGCUG